rnacentral:tRNA from 1 species
GGAGGGGUGGCCGAGUGGCUGAAGGCGCUGGUUUGCUAAAUCAGUAUACGGGGUAACUCGUAUCGAGGGUUCGAAUCCCUCCCGCUCCGCCA